AACCGGCCUUAAGAUGAGGUCUCUCACAGAGUUAAUCUGGUAAGGCCCCUUGUAGAUCACGAGGUUGAUAGGCCAGGUGUGUAAGGCCAGCAAUGGUUUUAGCUGACUGGUACUAAUAGGCCGAGGGCUUGACUUA
rnacentral:rRNA from 1 species